UUUCACAUGUCAUUUAUCUUUCACACGAAUGUUGCAUCUAUCUGCUCCUGACCCGGCAGCCCCCUGUUCAAUUUUAGGACAAUUGUGGCCCGCGAGUCAAAACGUUUGCCCACGCCUGGGUUAGAUGAACUGAUUCCAGAUUUUGAGCUAUUGUUUUUGCUUACCGCAGCUCAGCAAACAUCUUAAAUGUCCCUGCACUCCUUCGACCUAGUUGUUUACAGUAAUCAAUUCAUCUACAGUCUGUGUUUUCAUGUAGUCUCUUCUUUUUAUCGACAUAUUGUUCUUCCUUCCAAAAUACAUAGGAACCUCGGUUCUCUAACUUAAUUGGUUCCUGAAAAUCGUUCGUGAACCGAAAAGUUUGCGAGAACUGAAACAAUUUUCCCGCAAGUGCUCAAUCUGUGAUCACUUGCUUCCCGCCUGAUAUCGUUGGCUUGUUCGGCAACUGAGUUAUAUUCCCAUAACUUGGGGCAAAUUCUUGGUUAAAAAUUUUGUUCGUGAACCAAAUAUGUUCUAGAAAUGGAAGCGUUGGACAACCGAGAUUCCUCUGUAUUUAAAUUGAGGGAUUUUUUUUUAGUUAAGUUAAAUGUAGGCGUUUACAGUUGGAAAAAACGUGUUUACCCACGUGGCAAUGUUGUACAGAACCUUCGUGGACUGCUGUUUGAUGCUGAAAACACCAAAACAUGACGUGGCUAAGGCAAACGUGUGAGUUCUGAUUUGCCAAACAUUAAGCAGAAACAAUACCAAUAAAAUAGAAAGAGAGAUUCAAGUUAAUCACUGGUAGCAGAAUAAGAUGUUAUGAGUUCACAGCUAAAUUUGUAUUUUCACCAAAAUAGAAGAACCAAAAACGCCUCUCACAUGUUUGAAUUGUACAGUAAGGGUGUAAUGCACCCAAAAUGCUUGGUUGUCUGGUGAUGAGGUUAUGGUUGAGGUUAUGAAGUAUGUUAUGGUUAUGGUUAGAAACCACGCUAUUUGGAAACAAGUGUAAGAGAAAAGUAGAAGUAGUUUACGUAAUUCAGCAGUAGUUGAAUUGGUUUCAUGUAGCCGGAGUACAUGUGACGAUACAUUAUUAGAAGAGAACAGGGAAUUGUCAGGCCUACCUACACGGCUGCUGCCCUUCCUGAGUUAUCCAUCCAUCCAUCCAUCAUCGUCCGCUUAUCCGGGGCCGGGUCGCGGGGGUAGCAGUCGGAGCAGGGACACCCAGCCCUCCCUCUCUCCCCAGACACUUUCUCCAGCUUUUCUGGAGGGGAUCCCUAGGUGUUCCCAGGUCAGCCGAGCGACAUGGACGCUGCAGUGUGUCCUGGGUCUUCCUCUGGGUCUCCUCCAGGUGGGACAUGACACGAGCACCUCCCGAGGGAGCCUUCCGGGGAGGAGGGGUUUCGAUGUAAAUGCCCAAGUUACAUCUUGAUGUAUAAGUGCAUUGGCUCUACUUUGAGCUCCUCUUGGGUGACAGAGCUCCUCACCUUAUCUCUGAGGGAGCACUCUGCUCAUUUCGGCCGCUUGUAUCCGGGAUCUUGUUCUUUCGGUCAUGACUCAAAGUUCAUGACCAUAGGUGAGGGUGGGAUCAUAGAUAGACUGGUAAAUCGAGAGCCUUGCCUUUCGGCUCAGCUCCUUCUUCACCACAACGGACCGAUACGGCGACCGCAUUACUGUGUUAAUGUUAUUUAAUUACCUAUCCCUUUGUUUGUUUUUUUUCGUGUUUAUUUUUUUUUUACACUUAAUCAGACCCGGUUUUCAAAAAAACCUGCUGUGCCUCAACAAUGCAGUCUGUAUACCACUCUGUACAUCUGCCUCUUUAAAAGGUUUUUUUUUUUUUUUUUUCCCCAACCUGUUGUUGCUGAAUUUGACUGUGUAAAGUUUUACAAAUUGAAUGUAAAAAUUGUGUGUUUUUCUAUAAAUAGUUUUUUCCCCUUACGGCCCCCAAUUUCAGGAAAUUGCAUAAUACAAAUUAAAAACGCCCAAUAGUCACUCAUUUUGGAAAAGGAGACGGGCAUGCUAAGCACCGCAUUAUACUAACUGAAGACAUGAGCUACUCUUGGUUUGAGUAUUUACAAAAUUCAAAGUGCACCAAACAUUUUCAACACGACACUGGUCCAGACGAAACUGCACUGUUCCUGAGAACAGUGGCACAGAUGUCGAACUCCUUUUCACCUUUAUAGAUGUAACCACUCCAUACGAUGUUAAUACAUUUUCCUGGAAUUGAUUAUUAUUUAUAUAAAUUACAAAUAUUGUUCAUUCAUGUGUAAAAAAAACCCCAAACGUUUAAUUUAACAGAAAGAAACGCAGCAGCAUGGACUUUAUUAAAUGCUUUUUUUUUUUUUAAGUUCUUGCGGGCCAUACAAAACGACUUAGGCGGGCCACAUUUGGACCGCGGGCCUUGAGUUUGACACGUGCUGUAGGUUAUAUUUCUUUGAAUACAUAUCUUGUGAUGUUAUAUAUAUAUAUAUUAAAGGUAAAUGAGAAAUAUUAUUGAAAUAUGGUUACGAAAACAAUAUUCGAGUUUAAAGCUUAAAACGUACACGACAUUCAAAAUGUAUACCUUUAAAAAAAAAUUCAUAUUCGAUUUUAUGUUUAUUGAGUUCCGCAGAUUCCCUAAAUGAUACCAUCCCCAAGUCCACGCACCGCUGUCAGUCGUUGAUAACGAUGGGUGAAGGAAGACGACCGAGGAAACGGGAGACCAGGCUGGAGGAAGUAGGAUGUUGCGAGAAUACAAAAGCAACGCGAUAAUAAGUGGAAAUUUAAUUAACUCUACAGGUGUUUGGGUGUUGUAGCAACCUCAGUAACUUUUAACGAAGCCGGGGAAUUCCACUGGGGGACCAUGUUCGCAUCCACAGCAGCAGGCAGGUCUUCCGAGCAGCAGCAGCAACAGCAGCAGCGCCCCGCAGCAGCCAGCUCAACCACCCCCAACGAUAACACGGGCC